rnacentral:rRNA from 1 species
UGGGGGAUAUUGCACAAUGGGCGAAAGCCUGAUGCAGCGACGCCGCGUGGGGGAUGAAGGCCUUCGGGUUGUAAACUUCUUUUGCUCUGAACAAGGCGCACCAUGGGGUGUGUUGAGUGUAGGGGUUGAUUAGCGCCGGCUAACUACGUGCCAGCAGCCGCGGUAAUACGUAGGGCGCGAGCGUUGUCCGGAAUUAUUGGGCGUAAAGGGCUUGUAGGUGGCUGGUUGCGUCUGUCGUGAAAGCUCAUGGCUUAACUGUGGGUUUGCGGUGGGUACGGGCUGGCUUGAGUGCAGUAGGGGAGGCUGGAAUUCCUGGUGUAGCGGUGGAAUGCGCAGAUAUCAGGAGGAAUACUGGUGGCGAAGGCGGGUCUCUGGGCUGUUACUGACACUGAGGAGCGAAAGCAUGGGGAGCGAACAGG